CUGAGUAAUUGGGUCUUUAUGGCUCAUAACUCCCACCCUUUUGUAUACCUUACCAAAAUUUUAAGUUGCCUUGGUAGGAACCAACCUCUCCUAAAAAAAGAGGCAGGCCUACCAUUGGAACUAUUUUAAACUCUUUAUCAAUUGAGUCGUCUGAGAAAAUAAAUUCAAAUGAAUUA
rnacentral:misc_RNA from 1 species